rnacentral:tRNA from 1 species
GGAGCGGUGGUCUAGUUGGCUAUGGCGCUCUGCCUUGUAUCGUUAUCCGUAUACCUAAAACCUAUAACCUCUACCUAAAGGCAGAGAGGUCGGUGGUUCGAAUCCACCUCGCUCUA